rnacentral:rRNA from 1 species
UCGGGAAUUUUGGGCAAUGGAGGGAACUCUGACCCAGCCAUGCCGCGUGCAGGAUGAAGGCGUUAUGCGUUGUAAACUGCUUUUUAUAUAGGAAGAAAUAGUCCUUGCGAGGAAAGUUGACGGUACUAUAUGAAUAAGCACCGGCUAACUCCGUGCCAGCAGCCGCGGUAAUACGGAGGGUGCAAGCGUUGUCCGGAUUUAUUGGGUUUAAAGGGUGCGUAGGUGGCCCUGUAAGUCAGUGGUGAAAUAUCUCAGCUUAACUGAGAGGGUGCCAUUGAUACUGCAGGGCUUGAGUACAGAUGAGGUAGGCGGAAUUGACGGUGUAGCGGUGAAAUGCAUAGAUAUCGUCAAGAACACCGAUAGCGAAGGCAGCUUACCAAGCUGUAACUGACACUGAGGCACGAAAGUGUGGGGAUCAAACAGGAUUAGAUACCCGAGUAGUCCCUGAGCGGGCUGGCAAGGCGCAU